rnacentral:rRNA from 1 species
CAGCCGCCACGGUAAUACGAAGGGGGCUAGCGUUGCUCGGAAUCACUGGGCGUAAAGGGUGCGUAGGCGGGUCUUUAAGUCAGAGGUGAAAUCCUGGAGCUCAACUCCAGAACUGCCUUUGAUACUGAGGAUCUUGAGUUCGGGAGAGGUGAGUGGAACUGCGAGUGUAGAGGUGAAAUUCGUAGAUAUUCGCAAGAACACCAGUGGCGAAGGCGGCUCACUGGCCCGAUACUGACGCUGAGGCACGAAAGCGUGGGGAGCAAACAGGAUUAGAUACCCCAGUAGUCCCUGUCUCUUAUAU